rnacentral:tRNA from 1 species
CCAUCGGUGGUUCAGUGGUAGAAUGCUUGCCUGCCACGCGGGCGGCCCGGGUUCGAUUACCGGCCGACGCA